rnacentral:rRNA from 1 species
GACGAACGCUGGCGGCGUGCUUAACACAUGCAAGUCGAGCGGUAAGGCCUCUUCGGGGGUACACGAGCGGCGAACGGGUGAGUAACACGUGGGUGACCUGCCCUCAGCUCUGGGAUAAGCCUGGGAAACUGGGUCUAAUACCGGAUAUGACCUUUCCUCGCAUGGGGGUGGGUGGAAAGUUUUUUCGGCUGGGGAUGGGCCCGCGGCCUAUCAGCUUGUUGGUGGGGUGGUGGCCUACCAAGGCGACGACGGGUAGCCGGCCUGAGAGGGCGACCGGCCACAAUGGGGCUGAGGCACGGCCCCGAACCCUACGGGGGGCAGCAGUGGGGAAUAUUGCGCAAUGGGCGGAAGCCCGACGCAGCGACGCCGGGUGGGGGAUGACGGCCGUCGGGUUGUAAACCUCUUUCGACCCCGACGAAUUUUGGCGGUAGCGGUAGAAGAAGCACCGGCCAACUACGUG